GAUGUCAUCUGAGCUAAGUGUUAUGAGAUGAGAGUGGAACUCAAGUUAAUAAACCGCUGCCUUGCAGGAGAAGAGAACUUGUUCACAUGUAAUCCUCUGUACAGAGACCACACGCUCACACUGUCAUGCACCCAAUUAUACUUCAAUACAUACAUCUGUUCUUUAUGCCUUGCCCCAGCUGGAUGGGAGAAGAUGCAGGCGAGGAAAUGGGAUAGAGGUGAAGACAGUAAGAAGGAACAAUUGCUUACAGUACUUCRUCUCUCUUGGAUUUGUUUCCUGUUUUUUGCCAAUGGAAAUCAAAGAAAAUGGAGGAGGCUUCCCUGCAGUGAUCUUCAGAACUCCUUGUCUUCACCUGGAUAUCGGUCUGGGACUGGCCACACAGGCAUGACUACAGGAUUCCUUCCACAUCAUUUAAUGAAGAGAGAGAGGCAUGUCCAGAAGUGAUUCACUCCAGGGGAUGAGGUGAAUGCAAAGGGAGCUGAGGUGACGUCAAGCAAUUCUGGAAAGCCACGUGGUAAGUUGG
rnacentral:lncRNA from 1 species